rnacentral:rRNA from 1 species
AUUGAACGCUGGCGGCAUGCCUUACACAUGCAAGUCGAACGGUAACAGGUCUUCGGAUGCUGACGAGUGGCGAACGGGUGAGUAAUACAUCGGAACGUGCCUAGUAGCGGGGGAUAACUACUCGAAAGAGUGGCUAAUACCGCAUGAGAUCUACGGAUGAAAGCAGGGGAUCGCAAGACCUUGUGCUACUAGAGCGGCCGAUGGCAGAUUAGGUGGUUGGUGGGAUAAAAGCUUACCAAGCCGACGAUCUGUAGCUGGUCUGAGAGGACGAUCAGCCACACUGGGACUGAGACACGGCCCAGACUCCUACGGGAGGCAGCAGUGGGGAAUUUUGGACAAUGGGCGAAAGCCUGAUCCAGCAAUGCCGCGUGCAGGAUGAAGGCCUUCGGGUUGUAAACUGCUUUUGUACGGAACGAAAAGCCCCGGGUUAAUACCCUGGGGUCAUGACGGUACCGUAAGAAUAAGCACCGGCUAACUACGUGCCAGCAGCCGCGGUAA